rnacentral:rRNA from 1 species
UACAGAGGGGGGCAAGCGUUGUUCGGAAUUACUGGGCGUAAAGGGCGCGUAGGCGGCCUUCUAAGUCGAACGUGAAAUCCCCGGGCUCAACCCGGGAACUGCGUCCGAUACUGGGAGGCUUGAAUCCGGGAGAGGGAUGUGGAAUUCCAGGUGUAGCGGUGAAAUGCGUAGAUAUCUGGAGGAACACCGGUGGCGAAGGCGGCAUCCUGGACCGGUAUUGACGCUGAGGCGCGAAAGCUAGGGGAGCAAACGGG